UUCUUAUCGAGAGAGGCGGAGGGACAGGCCCGAUGAAGCCCGGCAACCGAUUCCUGACGGAUCAUGCAGUCAUAUGCUGACGUCAAGAGUGUCAUGGUGCUAAUUCCUUCAAGACUGCGCUUGGGCGCGGUUUUGACAGAUGAGAA
rnacentral:ncRNA from 2 species